CAGUCGCCGCGGUAAUACGGAGGGAGCUAGCGUUGUUCGGAAUUACUGGGCGUAAAGCGCACGUAGGCGGCUAUUCAAGUCAGGGGUGAAAGCCCGGGGCUCAACCCCGGAACUGCCUUUGAAACUAGAUAGCUUGAAUCUUGGAGAGGCGAGUGGAAUUCCGAGUGUAGAGGUGAAAUUCGUAGAUAUUCGGAAGAACACCAGUGGCGAAGGCGACUCGCUGGACAAGUAUUGACGCUGAGGUGCGAAAGCGUGGGGAGCAAACAGGAUUAGAUACCCCGGUAGUCCCUGUCUCUUAUAU
rnacentral:rRNA from 1 species